CAAAAUCCGGUUCAGCUGGAGGCCUUCAUGUUUCCAGGGGGGAUCCAGUCCUUCUAUCUACAUGACGUGUGUUCUGAAGGCCACUCUUGCUUCUGCACCUAGUGACGCGCUCCACAAAUCCUGUUCCUUUGCCAAUGGGUGGCUUGCUGCUGAUGGGAACCACCAGGUUUGUGGUUGCUGUGACUCCACAUGUGGUCCUGAUGGUGGAACUGCUGCUUCUCCUUUG